ensembl:misc_RNA Metazoa_SRP Metazoan signal recognition particle RNA
GCCAGACGUAGUGACUAGGCCUGUAGUCCCAGCUACUGGAGAGGCUGUGAUAGGAAGAUCACUUGAGUCCAGGAGUUCUGGGCUCUCAUGCACUAUGCUGUUCAGCUGUCCACACUAAAUCCAACAUCAGUAGGGUAACCUCCUGGGAGCAGGGGCCACCAGGUUGCCUAAAGAGGAGCAAACCAGCCCAUUAUGGAAUUAGGGCAGGUCAGAACUCCCGGGCUGAUCAGUAAUGGGAUUGUGUUUGUACUCCAGCCUGACAACAUAUCGAGACCCCCCUCUCUAAAAAAAAGGGAUAGAUCUUCC